rnacentral:rRNA from 1 species
UACAGAGGUCUCAAGCGUUGUUCGGAUUCAUUGGGCGUAAAGGGUGCGUAGGUGGCGCGGUAAGUCGGGUGUGAAAUCUCGGAGCUUAACUCCGAAACUGCAUUCGAUACUGCCGUGCUUGAGGACUGGAGAGGAGACUGGAAUUCAUGGUGUAGCAGUGAAAUGCGUAGAGAUCAUGAGGAAGACCAGUGGCGAAGGCGGGUCUCUGGACAGUUCCUGACGUGAGGCACGAAAGCCGGGGGAGCAAACAGG